rnacentral:rRNA from 1 species
GGGGAAUAUUGCACAAUGGAGGAAACUCUGAUGCAGCGAUGCCGCGUGAGGGAAGAAGGUUUUAGGAUUGUAAACCUCUGUCUUCAGGGACGAAAAAAGACGGUACCUGAGGAGGAAGCUCCGGCUAACUACGCGCCAGCAGCCGCGGUAAUACGUAGGGAGCGAGCGUUGUCCGGAAUUACUGGGUGUAAAGGGAGCGUAGGCGGGAUCGCAAGUCAGAUGUGAAAUCUAUGGGCUCAACCCAUAAACUGCAUUUGAAACUGUAGAGCUUGAGUGAAGUAGAGGCAGGCGGAAUUCCCCGUGUAGCGGUGAAAUGCGUAGAGAUGGGGAGGAACACCAGUGGCGAAGGCGGCCUGCUGGGCUUUAACUGACGCUGAGGCACGAAAGCGUGGGUAGCAAACAGGAUUAGAUACCCUGGUAGUCCACGCUGUAAACGAUGAUUACUAGGUGUGGGGGGUCUGACCCCUUCCGUGCCGGAGCAAACGCAAUAAGUAAUCCACCUGGGGAGUACGACCGCAAGGUUGAAACUCAAAGGAAUUGACGGGGGCCCGCACAAGCAGUGGAGUAUGUGGAUUAAUUCGAAGCAACGCGAAGAACCUUACCAGGUCUUGACAUCGUAUGCAUACCUCAGAGAUGAGUGAAAUCUCUUCGGAGACAUAUAGACAGGUGGUGCGUGGUUGUCGUCAGCUCGUGUCGUGAGAUGUUGGGUUAAGUCCCGCAACGAGCGCAACCCUUACUGUUAGUUGCUACGCAAGAGCACUCUAGCAGGACUGCCGUUGACAAAACGGAGGAAGGUGGGGAUGACGUCAAAUCAUCAUGCCCCUUAUGACCUGGGCCUCACACGUACUACAAUGGCUGUCAACAGAGGGAUGCAAAGCCGCGAGGUGGAGCGAACCCCUAAAAGCAGUCUUAGUUCGGAUUGUAGGCUGCAACCCGCCUACAUGAAGUCGGAAUUGCUAGUAAUCGCAGAUCAGCAUGCUGCGGUGAAUACGUUCCCG